UACGUAGGACCCAAGCGUUAUCCGGAUUGACUGGGCGUAAAGAGUUGCGUAGGUGGUUUAUCAAGCGAGCAGUGAAAUCUUGUGGCUCAACCAUAAGGCUAUUGUUCGAACUGGUAGACUCGAGAAUGGAAGAGGUAUCUGGAAUUCCCAGUGUAGGAGUGAAAUCCGUAGAUAUUGGGAGGAACACCAAUGGCGUAGGCAGGAUACUGGUCCAUUUCUGACACUGAUGCACGAAAGCGUGGGGAGCGAACGGG
rnacentral:rRNA from 1 species